rnacentral:rRNA from 1 species
CCUACGGGAGGCAGCAGUGGGGAAUAUUGGACAAUGGGCGCAAGCCUGAUCCAGCCAUGCCGCGUGAGUGAUGAAGGCCUUAGGGUUGUAAAGCUCUUUUAUCCGGGACGAUAAUGACGGUACCGGAGGAAUAAGCCCCGGCUAACUUCGUGCCAGCAGCCGCGGUAAUACGAAGGGGGCUAGCGUUGCUCGGAAUCACUGGGCGUAAAGGGCGCGUAGGCGGCGUUUUAAGUCGGGGGUGAAAGCCUGUGGCUCAACCACAGAAUGGCCUUCGAUACUGGGACGCUUGAGUAUGGUAGAGGUUGGUGGAACUGCGAGUGUAGAGGUGAAAUUCGUAGAUAUUCGCAAGAACACCGGUGGCGAAGGCGGCCAACUGGACCAUUACUGACGCUGAGGCGCGAAAGCGUGGGGAGCAAACAGGAUUAGAUACCCUUGUAGUC